ensembl:miRNA microRNA 425
GUCCCCGGGUCGUGCGCCUGCGGCAUGGAAAGCGCUUUGGAAUGACACGAUCACUCCCGUUGAGUGGGCACACAAGAAGCCAUCGGGAAUAUCGUGUCCGCCCAGUGCUCUUUCGGCGCCUCCCAGCAGGACCUUGAGGCCCU